rnacentral:rRNA from 1 species
GACGAACGCUGGCGGCGUGCUUAACACAUGCAAGUCGAACGGAAAGGCCCCCUUGUGGGGUACUCGAGUGGCGAACGGGUGAGUAACACGUGAGUAACCUACCCUUGACUUUGGGAUAACUUCAGGAAACUGGGGCUAAUACCGGAUAGGAGCUCCUGCUGCAUGGUGGGGGUUGGAAAGUUUUGGCGGUUGGGGUUGGACUCGCAGCUUAUCAGCUUGUUGGUGGGGUAGUGGCUCACCAAGGCUUUGACGGGUAGCCGGCCUGAGAGGGUGCCCGGCCACAAUGGGACUGAGAGACGGCCCAGACUCCUACGGGAGGCAGCAGUGGAGAGUAUUGCACAAUGGGCGGAAGCCUGAGGCAACGACGCCGCGUGCGGGAUGACGGCCUUCGAGUUGUAAACCGCUUUCGCCUGAAACGAAGCGUGAGUGACGGUAAUGGGUAAAGAAGCACCGGCUAACUACGUG